CGUCGUAUGACGUACAGACGUUAAUCAGGACGUACGACCAGACGCGGCAGCGUCAACAAUCUAGAGGCGGCAAAAAGGAAAGAAAAGAAGACCAGCGGUCAUAAAUGCAUCUGGAUUUGACUGUUGCCCGUUCUGGAUUUGACUGUUGCUACAAUUUCCUCUGCUGGGUUCGCUUGAUCAACAUCUGGAUUUGACUGUUGCCCGUUCUGGAUUUGACUGUUGCUACAAUUUCCUCUGCUGGGUUCGCUUGAUCAAAACAAAAAUGAAUAGAAAGACUGUGCCUGUCUCCUUAUCAGCCUUAAGACGAAGGACACGUGCAGACGUUCAAAAAAGGCUUAAUCAAAUUAGGACAGACAUGACUGACAUGACAGGAAUAGGGGCAGAUGACAGAGUUCUUUCUGAGAACACUGCCCAACCCUCUUCAGGUGCACAUGCAAUGCCAGAGGUGCAAGUUCUUACUGAAGAGGACAU